CCCCUCUCAGGGUCUCGCCUGGAGAGUUUCCAGUACUCUACCAGUCUCGGCUACGGGAGGGAGAGUCAAGCAGAGGCCUACCCCUUCUAUUCCUAGCUUGGGCAGUGGCUAGCGAGUAGAAGGUCAUCUGCUACAAGU